rnacentral:rRNA from 1 species
ACCAUCGAGUCUUUGAACGCAAGUUGCGCCCCAAGCCUUUAGGCCGAGGGCACGUCUGCCUGGGCGUCACGCAUCGCUGCCCCACCCCGCCCCCGCCCGGGGGCCCGGCGGUGCGGGCGGAUAAUGGCCUCCCGUGCGCUCCCCGCUCGCGGCUGGCCCAAAUCCGAGUCCCCGGCGGCCGGAGCCGCGACGAUCGGUGGUGAACGAAAACCUCUCGAGCUCACGUCGCGCGCGCCCGGCUCUCCGUUCCGGGACUCAGGGACCCCGACGCUCCGCGCCAGCGGCGCUCGCAUCGCGACCCCAGGUCAGGCGGGAUCACCCGCUGAGUUUAAGCAUAUCAAUAAGCGGAGGAAAAGAAACUUACCAGGAUUCCCCUAGUAACGGCGAGCGAACCGGGAAGAGCCC